GACGAACGCUGGCGGCGUGCCUAAUACAUGCAAGUCGAACGCUUCUUUCCUCCCGAGUGCUUGCACUCAAUUGGAAAGAGGAGUGGCGGACGGGUGAGUAACACGUGGGUAACCUACCCAUCAGAGGGGGAUAACACUUGGAAACAGGUGCUAAUACCGCAUAACAGUUUAUGCCGCAUGGCAUAAGAGUGAAAGGCGCUUUCGGGUGUCGCUGAUGGAUGGACCCGCGGUGCAUUAGCUAGUUGGUGAGGUAACGGCUCACCAAGGCCACGAUGCAUAGCCGACCUGAGAGGGGGAUCGGCCACACUGGGACCGAGACACGGCCCAGACUCCUACGGGAGGCAGCAGUAGGGAAUCUUCGGCAAUUGACGAAAGUCUUACCGAGCAACGCCGCGUGAGUGAAGAAGGUUUUCGGAUCGUAAAACUCUGUUGUUAGAGAAGAACCAGGACGUUAGUAACUGAACGUCCCCUGACGGUAUCUAACCAGAAAGCCACGGCUAACUACGUG
rnacentral:rRNA from 1 species